rnacentral:rRNA from 1 species
ACAGUGGCUAAGACUGGAUAGGAAGAUAAAAGGCAUCUUUUAUCUUUUAAAAGACCUAGUCGGAGGUAUGCUUAAAGAGGGGCUUGCGCCACAUUAGUUAGUUGGUGAGGUAAAGGCUUACCAAGAUUAUGAUGUGUAGCUGGACUGAGAGGUUGAACAGCCACAUUGGGACUGAGACACGGCCCAAACUCCUACGGGAGGCAGCAGUAGGGAAUUUUCGGCAAUGGAGGAAACUCUGACCGAGCGACGCCGCGUGAACGAUGAAGUAUUUCGGUAUGUAAAGUUCUUUUAUUGAAGAAGAAAAAAUAGUGGAAAAACUAUCUUGACGUUAUUCAAUGAAUAAGCCCCGGCUAACUAUGUGCCAGCAGCCGCGGUAAGACAUAGGGGGCGAGCGUUAUCCGGAAUUAUUGGGCGUAAAGGGUGCGUAGGCGGUUAGAUAAGUCUAUAAUUUAAUUUCAGUGCUUAACGCUGUCUUGUUAUAGAAACUGUCUUGACUAGAGUGAGAUAGAGGCAAGCGGAAUUCCAUGUGUAGCGGUAAAAUGUGUAAAUAUAUGGAGGAACACCAGAAGCGUAGGCGGCUUGCUGGGUCUUUACUGACGCUGAGGCACGAAAGCGUGGGGAGCAAACAGGAUUAGAUACCCUGGUAGUCCACGCUGUAAACGAUGAGUACUAAGUGUCGGGGAAACUCGGUACUGAAGUUAACACAUUAAGUACUCCGCCUGAGUAGUACGUACGCAAGUAUGAAACUUAAAGGAAUUGACGGGACUCCGCACAAGCGGUGGAUCAUGUUGUUUAAUUCGAAGAUACACGAAAAACCUUACCAGUCUUGACAUACUCUGCAAAGCUAUAGAAAUAUAGUGGAGUUAUCAGGAUACAGUGGUGCAUGGGUUGUCGUCAGUUCGUGUCGUGAGAUGUUAAGUUAAGUCCUAAACGAACGCAAACUCCUGUCGUUAGUUGCCAGCACGUAAUGGUGGGGACUUUAGCGAGACUGCCAAUGAUAACAUUGAGAAGGUGGGGGAUAACGUCAAAUCAUCAUGCCCCUUAUGACCUGGGCUACAAACGUGAUACAAUGGCUGGUACAAAGAGUUAGCUGAAACGCAAGUUCUUGGCCAAUCCCCAAAAACAGUCCCAGUCCGGAUUGAAGUCUGCAACUCGACUUCAUGAAGUUGGAAACGCUAGUAUUCGCGAAUGAGCAUGUCGCGGUGAAUACGUUCUCGGGGUUUGUACACACCGCCCGUCAAA